rnacentral:rRNA from 1 species
AUGGCCGCCGCCAACGCCCUCACUGGCGCUUCGGUGUCCCGCGGCGGCGGUGCAAGCAUGAGCGGCUCUGCGACGGCCCUGUGCCCGCGCUCCGUGGUGGCAGCGGCACCAACGUCCAGGACGUCGUCCUUGCGUCCCGUGCCGUGCGGCGUUGUUGGGACGGCAGCCCCUGUCGUGGCAACGGCGGAGGGUGACGACGGGAGGUGGUUCAGGCAGCUGGCGGUACCACAGGGGCUGGUGGAUGACCUCGUAGAGGAGGCGCUCGUCUGGUGCUCGCAGCAUGGCCUCGUCGUCGGCGACAAGAACCACCCGGUGACGUGA